UGGAUGCAGUGAAGGAUGCAAAGCUGCACGACGUCUUCAGCAACGCUGGAGGGAGGAAGUGAGUCCCCAAGCACCACACGCUGGCAAGUGCGAGAAGAACGUGUCUUUGGUGAUAGCUGGUGAUAAGUCAGGUUCUAAGAUUUCCUUAAGC